GUUAGUACGGGGACCGGACCGACAACGACGGUGGAGCUAUGUGUUUAAUUCGAAGCAACGCGAAGAACCUUUACCAGGUUCUUGACAUCCCGAUGCUUAUUUCUAGAGAUAGAAAGUUACUUCGGUACAUCGGUGACAGGUGCUGCAUGGCUGUCGUCAGCUCGUGUUGUGAAAUGUUGGGUUAAGUCCCGCAACGAGCGCAACCCUUAUCCUUUGUUGCCAGCGAGUAAUGUCGGGAACUCAAAGGAGACUGCCGGUGAUAAACCGGAGGAAGGUGGGAUGACGUCAAGUCAUCAUGGCCCUUACGAGUAGGGCUACACACGUGCUACAAUGGCAUAUACAAAGAGAAGCGAACUCGCGAGAGCAAGCGGACCUCAUAAAGUAUGUCGUAGUCCGGAUUGGAGUCUGCAACUCGACUCCAUGAAGUCGGAAUCGCUAGUAAUCGUAGAUCAGAAUGCUACGGUGAAUACGUUCCCGGGCCUU
rnacentral:rRNA from 1 species